rnacentral:rRNA from 1 species
CUACCCUCGAGAGGGGAAUAACUCGCCGAAAGGAGUGCUAAUACCGCAUAAGACCACGAUCUCGAAAGAGAACGAGGUAAAAGCUGGCCUCUAUACAUAAGCUAGCACUUGAGGAUGGGCCCGCGGCGCAUCACGGUAGUUGGUGAGGUAAUGGCUCACCAAGCCUAAGACGCGUAGCUGGUCUGAGAGGAUGAUCAGCCACACUGGAACUGAGACACGGUCCAGACUCCUACGGGAGGCAGCAGUGGGGAAUCUUGCGCAAUGGGCGACAGCCUGACGCAGCGACGCCGCGUGAGUGAUGAAGGCCUUCGGGUUGUAAAGCUCUGUGGGGCGAGACGAAUAAGUGCAGCCUAAUACGUUGCAUGAUGACGGUAUCGCCUUAGCAAGCACCGGCUAACUCUGUGCCAGCAGCCGCGGUAAGACAGAGGGUGCAAACGUUGUUCGGAAUUACUGGGCGUAAAGCGAGUGUAGGCGGUCUCUUAAGUCGGGUGUGAAAGCCCCGGGCUCAACCCGGGAAGUGCACUCGAAACUGCGAGGCUAGAGUAUCGGAGAGGUUGGUGGAAUUCUCGGUGUAGAGGUGAAAUUCGUAGAUAUCGAGAGGAACACCG